CAAAAACAUACCUUUAGCAAACAAGUAUUAAAGRUAGCGCCUGCCCAGUGAGACUUAAACGGCCGCGGUAUCUAACCGUGCAAAGGUAGCGUAAUCACUUGUCUUAUAAAUAAAGACCCGUAUGAAUGGCUAAAUGAAUAUUUAACUGUCUCCUUUAACUAAUCAGUGAAACUGAUCUUUCAGUACAAAAGCUGAAAUAAAAACAUAAGACGAGAAGACCCUGUGGAGCUUCAAAUUUUAAACAAAAUAUAAUAAAAAUGUAUUUAUGUUAAAAAUUUUUAGUUGGGGCGACUUUGGAGUAAAACUAAACCUCCAAGAAAAGCACAGCCUAACUAAGACCAACAGGCCAAACCAUAAAGACCCAGUAUAUUUACUGACUAAUGAACCAAGUUACCCAGGGAUAACAGCGCCAUCUUCUUCAAGAGUUCCUAUCGACAAGAAGGUUU
rnacentral:rRNA from 1 species